CUUGUAUUCAGACAGGUACACCUCAAGUAAAAGAAGUGUCUGGAGAAGACAAAGAAAAGCCUACUGUGGAUGAUGGUGAUGAUAGUGAUGGAAGUGACGGGAGUGAUGUUAGUUUCGGGUUGUUAUUUGACUAACCAUUAUGAAAACGUUUUGGUUUUUAAAAAAAAACAUGCAUGUAAAUCCUCUUCACAAUGACUCAAAAUUUGUCAAAUUUUACACCAUUUUAAGUAUUCAUACGCAAAUGUGAGUUUUAUAUUAAAACUAUGUACAUAGACUAAAUGCUAGAUUAAAGUAUACGACUUUCA